UGUGUUGAACCAGGUCUGAUAUGUACUGUCAGUGUUUAAUAAUGGGAUGUUGUGUUGAACCAGGUCUGAUAUGUACUGUCAGUGUUUAAUAAUGGGAUGUUGUGUUGAACCAGGUCUGAUAUGUACUGUCAGUGUUUAAUAAUGGGAUGUUGAACCAGGUCUGAUAUGUACUGUCAGUGUUUAAUAAUGGGAUGUUGUGUUGAACCAGGUCUGAUAUGUACUGUCAGUGUUUAAUAAUGGGAUGUUGUGUUGAACCAGGUCUGAUAUGUACUGUCAGUGUUUAAUAAUGGGGUGUUGAACCAGGUCUGAUAUGUACUGUCAGUGUUUAAUAAUGGGAUGUUGUGUUGAACCAGGUCUGAUAUGUACUGUCAGUGUUUAAUAAUGGGAUGUUGAACCAGGUCUGAUAUGUACUGUCAGUGUUUAAUAAUGGGAUGUUGUGUUGAACCAGGUCUGAUAUGUACUGUCAGUGUUUAAUAAUGGGAUGUUGUGUUGAACCAGGUCUGAUAUGUACUGUCAGUGUUUAAUAAUGGGAUGUUGUGUUGAACCAGGUCUGAUAUGUACUGUCAGUGUUUAAUAAUGGGAUGUUGAACCAGGUCUGAUAUGUACUGUCAGUGUUUAAUAAUGGGAUGUUGUGUUGAACCAGGUCUGAUAUGUACUGUCAGUGUUUAAUAAUGGGAUGUUGUGUUGAACCAGGUCUGAUAUGUACUGUCAGUGUUUAAUAAUGGGAUGUUGAACCAGGUCUGAUAUGUACUGUCAGUGUUUAAUAAUGGGAUGUUGUGUUGAACCAGGUCUGAUAUGUACUGUCAGUGUUUAAUAAUGGGAUGUUGAACCAGGUCUGAUAUGUACUGUCAGUGUUUAAUAAUGGGAUGUUGUGUUGAACCAGGUCUGAUAUGUACUGUCAGUGUUUAAUAAUGGGAUGUUGUGUUGAACCAGGUCUGAUAUGUACUGUCAGUGUUUAAUAAUGGGAUGUUGUAUUGAACCAGGUCUGAUAUGUACCGUCAGUGUUUAAUAAUGGGAUGUAGUGUUGAACCAGGUCUGAUAUGUACUCUCAGUGUUUAAUAAUGGGAUGUUGUGUUGAACCAGGUCUGAUAUGUACUGUCAGUGUUUAAUAAUGGGAUGUUGAACCAGGUCUGAUAUGUACUGUCAGUGUUUAAUAAUGGGAUGUUGUGUUGAACCAGGUCUGAUAUGUACUGUCAGUGUUUAAUAAUGGGAUGUUGUGUUGAACCAGGUCUGAUAUGUACUGUCAGUGUUUAAUAAUGGGAUGUUGUGUUGAACCAGGUCUGAUAUGUACUGUCAGUGUUUAAUAAUGGGAUGUUGAACCAGGUCUGAUAUGUACUGUCAGUGUUUAAUAAUGGGAUGUUGAGCCAGGUCUGAUAUGUCCUGUCAGUGUUUAAUAAUGGGAUGUUGUGUUGAACCAGGUCUGAUAUGUACUGUCAGUGUUUAAUAAUGGGAUGUUGUGUAGAACCAGGUCUGAUAUGUACUGUCAGUGUUUAAUAAUGGGAUGUUGUGUUGAACCAGGUCUGAUAUGUACUGUCAGUGUUUAAUAAUGGGAUGUUGUGUUGAACCAGGUCUGAUAUGUACUGUCAGUGUUUAAUAAUGGGGUGUUGAACCAGGUCUGAUAUGUACUGUCAGUGUUUAAUAAUGGGAUGUUGUGUUGAACCAGGUCUGAUAUGUACUGUCAGUGUUUAAUAAUGGGAUGUUGUGUUGAACCAGGUCUGAUAUGUACUGUCAGUGUUUAAUAAUGGGGUGUUGAACCAGGUCUGAUAUGUACUGUCAGUGUUUAAUAAUGGGAUGUUGUGUUGAACCAGGUCUGAUAUGUACUGUCAGUGUUUAAUAAUGGGAUGUUGUGUUGAACCAGGUCUGAUAUGUACUGUCAGUGUUUAAUAAUGGGGUGUUGAACCAGGUCUGAUAUGUACUGUCAGUGUUUAAUAAUGGGAUGUUGUGUUGAACCAGGUCUGAUAUGUACUGUCAGUGUUUAAUAAUGGGAUGUUGUGUUGAACCAGGUCUGAUAUGUACUGUCAGUGUUUAAUAAUGGGAUGUUGUGUUGAACCAGGUCUGAUAUGUACUGUCAGUGUUUAAUAAUGGGA